AUAUCAAGCUGAAUGGCAAAUGGCGUUAGUUCGAAAUAACGAAGUUUUUUACGAAGAUCGGGAAGAUGAUGUUAUUUCAGAAAAUACGUGGGAUGGGUUUAGAGAUGGAAUGGAAGAAGGCCAGAAGAAGACGUUGCAAGAUGGUUUUAAUAAUGGAUAUGAGCACGGAUAUGGAGUGAUGUUUGCUAUUUCUGAGUAUCGGGGAAUCUUACAAGGUUUGAGGUACUUUCUGAGUAGAAAUCAGAGACCCCAAGCAGAGAUUUUGAAAGCAACAAUACUGAAAGUGAAAGAAUUGGAAAAGCAAAUAUUACACGAGUUUCAAAGUGCUUUUGCUAUUCCAGUGAAGCACAUGGAUCAUUUAAACAAAGAACUUCCAAAAACAAGCAGCAGAAAAGCUGGAGAAGAUAUAACUCAAUCUUCCCCUGUUGCAAGGAAAACAGAUGAUACAGAUCAUUCUCUACUCUACCUCAGUGAAGAGACUAAACCAUUUUUAUCACCACAAUAUGAGAGAAAGUUUUGUUUACAGAAAAGUCUGGUUGAUGACAUCAGCAGGAUGAUGACUGAAAUAGCAACUUUAUUGGAAGAAUUAGGUUUUGCAGAUUUAAUUAAGAAGUAACACUACAUUAAAAAGCUAUAUAUGUGUUAAAAAGAAGCACUGAAUCUUAUCUCCAAUAUUUAUUCUUAAGGAAGUUCAGCCUUGCCAUAACCAUUUUGAUGAAGAAGUGGCCAAUCUUAGAUCAGUAGUCACUGGAAUUCCAAAUAGCGCUGUGUUCAAAGUAUGUCAGAUGUCUCUGGGAGAAUUGUAGCUAGACUUUGAAGUUAAAUAAAUAUCAGAUUUACCUCCAUUA
rnacentral:misc_RNA from 1 species